CCUUCUGUGGUGUAGUUGGUAUCACACUCGGCUGUAAUGGGUGUCAUUUCAGGGAACCGAUUGGUCACCGGUUCGACUCCGGUCGGAAGGA